AGUUGCUCUAAUGUAAUUGGUUGCUAGGGACAGUUGCUCUGAUGUAAUUGGUUGCUAGGGACAGUUGCUCUAAUGUAAUAAGUUGCUAGUGAGUUUCUGUCUUCUUUAUGAACUAUUUAUCUCUUAGCUUUAUAUCAGUAUUCCCCAGCCCGUGUCUCUCAGUAUUGCUGCUGUAAUAUUCGGUGAAUAGAGCCUGGGACCUCUGAACUCUGUAUGUAAAACUUUGACUGUGACUGUGUCUCUGUUACAUGUGAUGCCUAGGACAAGAAUGCUGCAAAUGUUGCUGUAUCUACCCAUGAAAGUAAGGAAGCUACCCACCACAAAUUGACCUACAUACUUGAUGAUCUGCAACAAACACACAGGAAAAAACUGCACAUGUGGAUUUUGGCGCAGAUUCAAGGUGGAUCUUACCCCUAUGCACAGAAAAUUUUGAAAUCAAUCACAAAUCCACACUAUAGUGGAUCUGUUAGCAGGAAAACAUUGAUGUAAAUAAGCUCAUGACUCAGAAUUGCAGGCAUACAUUUCAUAUGUCAAUAGUCCUCUGCAGUGCUGAGAUUUUGUGAUUUUGUGUCAGCCUUUGUGUUUUUAUGCAAAUGCAACCCAUGGAACACUAUAAAAAAAAAAACAAAAUGCUGUGUAUGAAUCCAGUCUACAAUGUUCACCAUCAAUCACUGUUUUGCCUACCACGAUAUUGUUGACAUGUUGGGAUCCAUUGAUGUCAUUUAUAACACCCUCUG